rnacentral:rRNA from 1 species
GGGUUGUGAGGUUAAGCGACUAAGCGUACACGGUGGAUGCCCUGGCAGUCAGAGGCGAUGAAGGACGUGCUAAUCUGCGAAAAGCGUCGGUAAGGUGAUAUGAACCGUUACAGCCGGCGAUGUCCGAAUGGGGAAACCCAGUGCAAUUCGUUGCACUAUCGUUAACUGAAUACAUAGGUUAACGAGGCGAACCGGGGGAACUGAAACAUCUAAGUACCCCGAGGAAAAGAAAUCAACCGAGAUUCCCCCAGUAGCGGCGAGCGAACGGGGAGCAGCCCGGAGUCUGAAUCAGCUUGUGUGUUAGUGGAAGCGUCUGGAAAGUCGCAGGGUACAGGGUGAUACUCCCGUACACUAAAACACACAGGUUGUGAACUCGAAGAGUAGGGCGGGACACGUGGUAUCCUGUCUGAAUAUGGGGGGACCAUCCUCCAAGGCUAAAUACUCCUGACUGACCGAUAGUGAACCAGUACCGUGAGGGAAAGGCGAAAAGAACCCCGGCGAGGGGAGUGAAAAAGAACCUGAAACCGUGUACGUACAAGCAGUAGGAGCCCACUAGUUGGGUGACUGCGUACCUUUUGUAUAAUGGGUCAGCGACUUAUAUUCUGUAGCAAGGUUAACCGUAUAGGGGAGCCGCAGGGAAACCGAGUCUUAACUGGGCGUUAAGUUGCAGGGUAUAGACCCGAAACCCGGUGAUCUAGCCAUGGGCAGGUUGAAGGUUGGGUAACACUAACUGGAGGACCGAACCGACUAAUGUUGAAAAAUUAGCGGAUGACUUGUGGCUGGGGGUGAAAGGCCAAUCAAACCGGGAGAUAGCUGGUUCUCCCCGAAAGCUAUUUAGGUAGCGCCUCGUGAAUUCAUCUUCGGGGGUAGAGCACUGUUUCGGCUAGGGGGUCAUCCCGACUUACCAACCCGAUGCAAACUACGAAUACCGAAGAAUGUUAUCACGGGAGACACACGGCGGGUGCUAACGUCCGUCGUGAAGAGGGAAACAACCCAGACCGCCAGCUAAGGUCCCAAAGUCAUGGUUAAGUGGGAAACGAUGUGGGAAGGCCCAGACAGCCAGGAUGUUGGCUUAGAAGCAGCCAUCAUUUAAAGAAAGCGUAAUAGCUCACUGGUCGAGUCGGCCUGCGCGGAAGAUGUAACGGGGCUAAACCAUGCACCGAAGCUGCGGCAGCGACACUAUGUGUUGUUGGGUAGGGGAGCGUUCUGUAAGCCGUUGAAGGUGGCCUGUGAGGGUUGCUGGAGGUAUCAGAAGUGCGAAUGCUGACAUAAGUAACGAUAAUGCGGGUGAAAAACCCGCACGCCGGAAGACCAAGGGUUCCUGUCCAACGUUAAUCGGGGCAGGGUGAGUCGACCCCUAAGGCGAGGCCGAAAGGCGUAGUCGAUGGGAAACAGGUUAAUAUUCCUGUACUUGGUGUUACUGCGAAGGGGGGACGGAGAAGGCUAUGUUGGCCGGGCGACGGUUGUCCCGGUUUAAGCAUGUAGGCGGAUGUUCCAGGUAAAUCCGGAACGUCACUAACGCUGAGGUGUGAUGACGAGGCACUACGGUGCUGAAGUGACAAAUGCCCUGCUUCCAGGAAAAGCCUCUAAGCAUCAGGUAACAUCAAAUCGUACCCCAAACCGACACAGGUGGUCAGGUAGAGAAUACCAAGGCGCUUGAGAGAACUCGGGUGAAGGAACUAGGCAAAAUGGUGCCGUAACUUCGGGAGAAGGCACGCUGAUGGUAAGUGAAGUGACUUGCUCAUGGAGCUGAAAUCAGUCGAAGAUACCAGCUGGCUGCAACUGUUUAUUAAAAACACAGCACUGUGCAAACACGAAAGUGGACGUAUACGGUGUGACGCCUGCCCGGUGCCGGAAGGUUAAUUGAUGGGGUUAUCCUCGCGGAGAAGCUCUUGAUCGAAGCCCCGGUAAACGGCGGCCGUAACUAUAACGGUCCUAAGGUAGCGAAAUUCCUUGUCGGGUAAGUUCCGACCUGCACGAAUGGCGUAAUGAUGGCCAGGCUGUCUCCACCCGAGACUCAGUGAAAUUGAACUCGCUGUGAAGAUGCAGUGUACCCGCGGCAAGACGGAAAGACCCCGUGAACCUUUACUAUAGCUUGACACUGAACACUGGUCCUUGAUGUGUAGGAUAGGUGGGAGGCUUUGAAGUGUGGACGCCAGUCUGCAUGGAGCCAUCCUUGAAAUACCACCCUUUAAUGGCUGGUGUUCUAACGUGGGCCCGUGAUCCGGGUUGCGGACAGUGUCUGGUGGGUAGUUUGACUGGGGCGGUCUCCUCCUAAAGAGUAACGGAGGAGCACGAAGGUCAGCUAAUCCUGGUCGGACAUCAGGAGGUUAGUGCAAUGGCAUAAGCUGGCUUGACUGCGAGCGUGACGGCGCGAGCAGGUGCGAAAGCAGGUCAUAGUGAUCCGGUGGUUCUGAAUGGAAGGGCCAUCGCUCAACGGAUAAAAGGUACUCCGGGGAUAACAGGCUGAUACCGCCCAAGAGUUCAUAUCGACGGCGGUGUUUGGCACCUCGAUGUCGGCUCAUCACAUCCUGGGGCUGAAGUAGGUCCCAAGGGUAUGGCUGUUCGCCAUUUAAAGUGGUACGCGAGCUGGGUUUAGAACGUCGUGAGACAGUUCGGUCCCUAUCUGCCGUGGGCGCUGGAGAAUUGAGGGGGGCUGCUCCUAGUACGAGAGGACCGGAGUGGACGCAUCACUGGUGUUCGGGUUGUCAUGCCAAUGGCAUUGCCCGGUAGCUAAAUGCGGAAGAGAUAAGUGCUGAAAGCAUCUAAGCACGAAACUUGCCCCGAGAUGAGUUCUCCCUGACUCCUUGAGAGUCCUGAAGGAACGUUGAAGACGACGACGUUGAUAGGCCGGGUGUGUAAGCGCAGCGAUGCGUUGAGCUAACCGGUACUAAUGAACCGUGAGGCUUAACCUUACAACGCCGAAG